CGCGAAUAGCUCAUUACAACAGCUAUAAUUUACUUGAAUUUGACAACCCUACUUGGAUACCGGUGGUAAUUCUAGCGCUAAUACAUGCACCAAAGCUCCGACCGCGAGGGAAGAGCGCAUUUAUUAGAACAAAACCACACGGCUUCGGCCGUCCAAUGUUGACUCGGAAUAACUAAGCUGAUCGCAUGGUCUUGCACCGGCGACGUUUCUUUCAAGUAUCUGCCUUAUCAACUUUCGAUGGUAGUGUAUCUGACUACCAUGGUGAUGACGGGUAACGGAGGAUAAGGGUUCGACUCCGGAGAAGGGGCCUGAGAAAUGGCCACUACGUCUAAGGAUGGCAGCAGGCGCGCAAAUUACCCACUCUCAGUACGAGGAGGUAGUGACGAGAAAUAACAAGACCGUUCUCACAAGAGGCCGGUCAUUGGAAUGGGUACAAUUUAAACCCUUUAACGAGUAUCUAUGAGAGGGCAAGUCUGUGCCAGCAGCCGCGGUAAUUCCAGCU
rnacentral:rRNA from 1 species